UGCCAGCCGCCGCGGUAAUACGGAGGGUGCAAACGUUGCUCGGAAUCAUUGGGCGUAAAGCGCGCGUAGGCGGCUUGAUAAGUCGGAUGUGAAAGCCCUCGGCUUAACCGGGGAAGUGCAUUCGAAACUGUCAGGCUUGAGCACGGGAGAGGAGAGAGGAAUUCCUGGUGUAGAGGUGAAAUUCGUAGAUAUCAGGAGGUACACCGAUGGCGAAGGCAUCUCUCCGGACCGAUAUUGACGCUGAGGCGCGAAAGUGUGGGGAGCAAACAGGAUUAGAUA
rnacentral:rRNA from 1 species